rnacentral:rRNA from 1 species
CUACGUGCCAGCAGCCGCGGUAAUACGUAGGGCGCGAGCGUUGUCCGGAAUUAUUGGGCGUAAAGGGCUUGUAGGCGGUUGGUCGCGUCUGCCGUGAAAUCCUCUGGMUCAGCUGGGGGCGUGCGGUGGGUACGGGCUGGCUUGAGUGCGGUAGGGGAGGCUGGAACUCCUGGUGUAGCGGUGGAAUGCGCAGGUAUCAGGAGGAACACCGGUGGCGAAGGCGGGUCUCUGGGCCGUUACUGACGCUGAGGAGCGAAAGCGUGGGGAGCGAACAGGAUUAGAUACCCUGGUAGUCCACGCUGUAAACGUUGGGCACUAGGUGUGGGGGGUCUUUCCGGGUCUUCCGCGCCGUAGCUAACGCAUUAAGUGCCCCGCCUGGGGAGUACGGCCGCAAGGCUAAAACUCAAAGGAAUUGACGGGGGCCCGCACAAGCGGCGGAGCAUGCGGAUUAAUUCGAUGCAACGCGAAGAACCUUACCAAGGCUUGACAU